rnacentral:rRNA from 1 species
CACAAUGGGCGCAAGCCUGAUGCAGCAACGCCGCGUGAGGGAUGACGGCCUUCGGGUUGUAAACCUCUUUUAGCAGGGAAGAAGCGAAAGUGACGGUACCUGCAGAAAAAGCGCCGGCUAACUACGUGCCAGCAGCCGCGGUAAUACGUAGGGCGCAAGCGUUAUCCGGAAUUAUUGGGCGUAAAGAGCUCGUAGGCGGUCUGUCGCGUCUGCUGUGAAAACCCGAGGCUCAACCUCGGGCCUGCAGUGGGUACGGGCAGACUAGAGUGCGGUAGGGGAGAUUGGAAUUCCUGGUGUAGCGGUGGAAUGCGCAGAUAUCAGGAGGAACACCGAUGGCGAAGGCAGAUCUCUGGGCCGUAACUGACGCUGAGGAGCGAAAGGGUGGGGAGCAAACAGGCUUAGAUACCCUGGUAGUCCACCCCGUAAACGUUGGGAACUAGUUGUGGGGUCCAUUCCACGGAUUCCGUGACGCAGCUAACGCAUUAAGUUCCCCGCCUGGGGAGUACGGCCGCAAGGCUAAAACUCAAAGGAAUUGACGGGGACCCGCACAAGCGGCGGAGCAUGCGGAUUAAUUCGAUGCAACGCGAAGAACCUUACCAAGGCUUGACAUAUAGAGGAAACGUCUGGAAACAGUCGCCCCGCAAGGUCUCUAUACAGG